AUUCUCUGGUUUCUCUUCAAUUCGUAUAAAUCUUUCGCCUUUUACUAAAGAUUUCUUUAUUUUAAAAAGUUAUUGGAGAAAGGCAAAUUAUUUUAUUUGUAAGUUUACCUGCUUUUAAGCU